rnacentral:lncRNA from 1 species
CAUGAUUGGAUAAUAUUUGUCAAAUACAAACGAAAGUAUCACUAUUUAUAUUUUGCAAAAAAUUUUGGAAGUAAACAACGCCUUAGUAUUACAGGUACGCGAAUGGACUUGACUAAACGGAACGGAACACAAGAUAGUAGAGUCUGCCACGCCACGUGGAUCGCUACGGUGGGCCCACUUCAACUUGCUACUAUACCAAACAAAUAGGAGUAAUCCAGCGCUGCCGAGUGGUCUAGCUAGCGAUAUGAUGACGAAUCGCUGAUGCAAUUUACAUGUUGUUAUCAAGCCCAAGAGAGACAACCCCACAGUUUAACCCCGUUUAUAUUAAAUCCUACAGGAUUCUAUAAUUCAGAUUCUGGAUAAUAAAAUUUCUAACCGUUUGAAUCCUCGGUGGUUGUGGAAAUUCAGAUAUUGUGUGAUGUGGAUAUCCAUUUAUAUCUUAUUGGACACAAUUGGCCAUGAAACUUAAUUUGCUGCUCUUACUCAAAUUUUUUUUUUGCCAAAACUGAUCUGGACUAGAUCAAUAAAAGGAAGAAUAUACCGGGUAAGACAAAAGAAAUGUUCAUGCACAAUAGAAAGAACCUCGAUUGUUAUUAAACCAGUUGUGAUUUGUAACAAACCUAUAAUAUUAUCACAUCAGGAGAGGAGGUUUGUUAUUCUAACUAAGUAAAUCAAGCUUAAGUCUAUAAGAAAAUAAAAAAAAAAUAUAGGUGCUAAUUAAAUUCCUAAUGAAGUCAAAACAUAAGGCUAGAAACAGUCUAAAAUUCUAAGCAAGUGACUCUUGAGAUUAAAGCUAAGCUCCUAGCUCACUAUGGCUUAAGAUUUUUUUAUUAGGUAGAUGGUGGAAAAGUUAAAGUCCUAAUCGUCGAUUGGGUGAAUGUGUUGUUAGCAUGUGACAAUAAGGAUGUGCCACAUAAGAGUUUUCUAAUAAUCCAAUUUUAAUGUGAAAGAUUUUGGUGAAGCCUGUGAUGAUAAGACCAAAUGAGUAUUAAGAUUAUCACAAAAGGGCACAUUGAGUAAAUGUUUAAGUGAUAUAUUAUGAAUAAGUGUAAUGCCAUGUUUGUUCUGUUUGUGUAAUGUAGUAACAAAGUGCAUAUAGCCCUCU